rnacentral:rRNA from 1 species
UUUUCAAGCAGAAGACGGCAUACGAGAUCUAGUACGGUCUCGUGGGCUCGGAGAUGUGUAUAAGAGACAGCCUAAAUCCGAGGAGUUCCGUCAUGGAGAGAAUCGGAUGAAUGCGUUAACAGCUUCUGUGUAUACGGGAGUUCAGCAAAUUCCCAGAGUCCGUGAAAAUGUAGAGAAAAUGGAUUGUGCAUAAUCGUACUCAGAACCGACACAGGUGACUCUUGCUGAAAAGGCAAAGGCGUGUCAUGUUAUACCAUCCCAAGGAAUUCGGCAAUAUUGGAUCUGUAUCUUUGGUAUAAGGAUUGCCUAUGCAGAAGUGCAUAGGUCUCAGUAACAAGGUGGAGGCGACUGUUUAACAAAAACGUAGCUGGCUGCUAAUGGGAAACCACUUGUAUAGCCAGUGAGGUCUGCCCAGUGCGAGUGUGUUAAAGCUGGUUCCAACCGGCCUAAGCCCUCGUAAACGGCGGCGGUAACUCUGACCGUCUUAAGGUAGCGUAAUCCCUUGUCGUUUAAUUGACGACCCGCAUGAAUGACUUAACGACUUCCACGCUGUCUCGGGAUGGAGCAUGGCGAACCUGCUAUUGUGGUGAAUAGGCCACAGACCCUUGGUGGGAAGAGAAGACCCCGUGGAGCUCUGCGGCAGCCUGUCGUUGUUGUACGGUUGUGGUUGCAUAGAGUAUGCAGGAGCUGUCAAGCUAAGGCUUUCGGGCCUUAGAUAGGCAACAAUGUAACACUGCACUUCUAUGAUUGUACGACUAACCUCGACUCGGGGGACACCGGUUGGUAGGCCGCUCGGCUGGGGCGGUACGCUCUUGACAGAAUAUCAAGAGCGCCCAAAGGUUGGCUCAUCCUGGUCAGAAAUCAGGAGUAGAGUGUAAGCGCAAAAGCCAGCCUGACUGGAUUUCGCAUUGCAAGAAAUCCAGACGCGAAAGCGUGGGCUAGCGAUACGUCGAGUUGGCAUUGAUGGCUAUCGGUGACUUCAGAAAAGCUACCCCGGGGAUAACAGAGUCGUGGCGGGCGAGAGCUCCUAUCGACCCCGCGCAUUGCUACCUCGCUGUCGGCUCCCCCCCUCCUGGUCGUGCAGUAGCGACCAAGGGUGCAGGUGUUCACUGAUUAAAGGGGGACGUUAGCUGGGUUCAGUACGUCGUAAUCUAUGGUAGGGAAAUUUUCAAUGGUUGAUAAUUCGAGUCUUCGGACAAUGAGAUGAUAAGCAGCCCAUGAGGUCUUCGUUCGUAUUCCAAGAUGAACCAUAUAGCUCUAGCUUUGGCUAGCGAUGAUUAUGGUAUACCAGAAUACGAAUUUCAUACUGCUAGGAAUAUUAUUAUUCCUACCCACCAUAGACGAUACAGACAGUACGGUUUAUAUCUUCCAAGGGUGUUGUUGUCUGACUCGAAGAAUGGAGAAGUACGAAAGGAACCUCCACUCGUGGCCUCUGGUCUACCUGUUGUUAACGCAUCGCAGGGCAGCUACG